AAACCGGUUAUCCAUUUCCUUGCAUGAGAAAAUUGAAAGGUGGUUUUAGCUACCAUUAAAGAUGGACCCGGGGGCAUUAGUUAGUUGUGAGGUAACGGCUCACCAAGGCAACGAUGCGUAGCCGACCUGAGAGGGUGAUCGCCACACUGGGACUGAGACACGGCCCAGAUUCUUACGGGAGGCAGCAGUAGGAAUCUUCCGCAAUGGACGAAAGUCUGACGGAGCAACGCCGCGUGAGUGAUGAAGGUUUUCGGAUCGUAAAGCUCUGUUGUUAGGGAAGAACAAGUGCCGUUCGAAUAGGGCGGCACCUUGACGGUACCUAACCAGAAAGCCACGGCUAACUACGUGCCAGCAGCCGCGGUAAUACGUAGGUGGCAAGCGUUGUCCGGAAUUAUUGGGCGUAAAGCGCGCGCAGGUGGUUCCUUAAGUCUGAUGUGAAAGCCCACGGCUCAACCGUGGAGGGUCAUUGGAAACUGGGGAACUUGAGUGCAGAAGAGGAAAGUGGAAUUCCAAGUGUAGCGGUGAAAUGCGUAGAUAUUUGGAGGAACACCAGUGGCGAAGGCGACUUUCUGGUCUGUAACUGACACUGAGGCGCGAAAGCGUGGGGAGCAAACAGGAUUAGAUACCCUGGUAGUCCACGCCGUAAACGAUGAGUGCUAAGUGUUAGGGGGUUUCCGCCCCUUAGUGCUGCAGCUAACGCAUUAAGCACUCCGCCUGGGGAGUACGGUCGCAAGACUGAAACUCAAAGGAAUUGACGGGGGCCCGCACAAGCGGUGGAGCAUGUGGUUUAAUUCGAAGCAACGCGAAGAACCUUACCAGGUCUUGACAUCCUCUGACAACCCUAGAGAUAGGGCUUUCCCCUUCGGGGGACAGAGUGACAGGUGGUGCAUGGUUGUCGUCAGCUCGUGUCGUGAGAUGUUGGGUUAAGUCCCGCAACGAGCGCAACCCUUGAUCUUAGUUGCCAGCAUUCAGUUGGGCACUCUAAGAUGACUGCCGGUGACAAACCGGAGGAAGGUGGGGAUGACGUCAAAUCAUCAUGCCCCUUAUGACCUGGGCUACACACGUGCUACAAUGGACGGUACAAAGGGCAGCGAGACCGCGAGGUUUAGCCAAUCCCAUAAAACCGUUCUCAGUUCGGAUUGUAGGCUGCAACUCGCCUACAUGAAGCUGGAAUCGCUAGUAAUCGCGGAUCAGCAGCCG
rnacentral:rRNA from 1 species